GGACAGUAGAAGCUUCUUUGAGCCAGAAAAAAGGAAGCAGGAAAGGGGCUGCUUUGCCUGUCAUGCUUUAUCCACUUAACUCCAUGUUGCUUUAACUGAGUAUCUGGCACCCCCCAGCCACUGUACAUGUGUUCCCUCUCCUGGAACCAGGACGUGGCUGCUGCUGUUCCCUCUAAUGCAUAGCCAGAAAGGAUGAGAAGCCGUGCACAGAUUGGACAGAGCUAAUGAAGUUCCCCAGGCCAGGAACUUUACUUGCCUCUGUGACUGCAUGCUGUUCUUCUCAGAUAUUGGCAAAACAGUAAUUUGAAGAAACCAGAACCAUGACUGAUCUUUUGAUAGGUUCAUUGGUGCCCUUCUCUGAUUUUUGGAAAACAAAGGGCUGGAUGCGAAGAACUGGUCAAAACAUGAGGAUUAUGACUAAGGACAGUAAGCAUGAUUGUACCAUAUUUUCAUUUCCCCUGUACAAAGGACAGAGAACUUUGUUCUGUGAUCUG